CCUACGGGAGGCAGCAGUAGGGAAUCUUUCACAAUGGGCGAUAGCCUGAUGGAGCAACGCCGCGUGCAGGAUGAAGGCCUUCGGGUUGUAAACUGCUUUUAUAAGCGAGAAAUAUGAUGGUAACUUAUGAAUAAGGAUCGGCUAACUACGUGCCAGCAGCCGCGGUCAUACGUAGGCUCCGAGCAUUAUCCGGAGUUACUGGGUGUAAAGAGUUGCGUAGGUGGCAUAAUAAGUAGCUAGUGAAAUCUGGUGGCUUAACCAUUCAGACUAUUAGCGAAACUGUUAAGCUUGAGACCGUUAGGGGUAACUGGAAUUUCUGGUGUAGGAGUGAAAUCCGUAGAUAUUAGAAAGAACACCGAUAGCGUAGGCAGGUUACUGGGAUGGUUCUGACACUAAGGCACGAAAGCGUAGGGAGCAAACGGGAUUAGAUACCCUAGUAGUC
rnacentral:rRNA from 1 species